UCAGUGUUAAACCUUGCUUCACCUACUGAUAUUAGUGAGAGACUCUGCGGUUCAAGUGUAAGGUAUUGAGCAUCACUGACAGCAGCUCCAUAUCGUACUGACCUGCCUCAGGAAGAAGGUCUUCAUCACACAAGACACAAGCACUGGAUAACCCAAACUGAAGUGAAGCAACCUGAUGACCAUCCUUACAAAGUCCCUUGCUUCUCAUUCCUUUACUGGAGCAAAGUUCACAGUUCAAAGGCUGUGUUUCUUUAGUCACAGAGCUGUGUCGCAUGCUCUUGUGCAUCUCUGGAGAUUAUAAUGGUGCCAGGAAACAUAGCAACUAUUGGGAAUCAUCAGUGAAUGAGAGUGAGAUCACCUCUGUCUACAUGCAGCUUCAAAACUCACACAAGCAAUUACAGGUGAAGAAUGCUAUAAUAGAG